CAUGCAUGGUCUCAUAGGCAGUGGGUUCUUCAGGCACUUGGUGGGUGGGAAGAUGAACUUGCCUAUUGUCAUCAACUACUUGAAGAUGAUAUUUACAACAAUUCAGCUUGGAAUCAGAAAUGGUUCGAGAUGAUUAGAUUCUUGAAAAUAGAUGUUUGCAUAUUCCAAAUGAAACUCAAAUCAAGUUCAGUGUUGAUGGGCAGGACCACCUUGGAUGAUUGAUAGAUUGAGAUACUUCGUUGUUACACGAUCACUUCGUUGUUAAUUGGAGGCCUGGCAGCAAUGAGGGACUCAGAAGUGCAAUAUGCAGUUCAGGCCAUUAAAACUACCCCUGAUAAUGAAAGCCCUUGGAGAUACCUUCGGGGUCUUUACAAAG